UAGCAGAGGUUUAGAGCAUUUCUGAUGUCCUCUUAUGCAGUGAGAAGAGGAUCCUGGCAGUCACAACUGGAGAGAGGGAGAUCCCAGAGGGACAUAAUCCCUGAAGGAUGAUGAUCUCUGCUUUUCACCAGCUGCCAGCACUUCUAAUCCAUGCUGGCUGGGCAGGGCAAUGCCUCCUUCAUACAAGUCAGAAUAGCAGGGAAAGCUUAAUUGCCAGAGGGUCAAAUACUAAAUGCAUUUAGGGGUGCAGAUUUGGUGUCUACAGCCCGUUUCCACCAGUAUUAUAAAUGUUGUGGUGCUUCAGCUUUGCAUGCCUUCAACUAAAAUUAUUUCAAGAAAUCUCUUAAACACAGACUUAAAAUCUCCUGGAUGUCCUUGCGACCCACCCAGUGCAAGUGAGUCCUGGACUGGACACUGGUCUUGCUUAGAUCUACUUGAGAAAUGGCACUUCUUCUCCACCUUCCCACCUCAUGAAAUCUCCAAGGGUGUGCUGAACUCGCCUCCCAUUCAGAGGUGAACAG